rnacentral:rRNA from 1 species
UGGGGAAUAUUGCACAAUGGAGGGAACUCUGAUGCAGCGACGCCGCGUGAACGAAGAAGGCUUUCGAUUCGUAAAGUUCUUUUAUAUGGGAAGAUAAUGACGGUACCAUAAGAAAAAGCCCCGGCUAACUACGUGCCAGCAGCCGCCGUAAUACGUAGGGGGCUAGCGUUGUCCGGAAUCACUGGGGGGAAAGGGUUCCGAGGCGGUAAUGCAAGUCAGGUGUAAAAGGCAGUAGCUUAACUACUGUAAGCAUUUGAAACUGCAUAUCUUGGGAAGAGUAGAGAGAGGUGGAAUUUUUAGUGUAGAGGUGAAAUGCGUAGAUAUUAAAAAGAAUACCGGUGGCGAAGGCGGCUUACUGGGCUCAUUCUGACGCUGAGGAACGAAAGCGUGGGUAGCAAACAGG